UCCCUGGAGGACUAGUGGUUAGGCCACAGUGCUCUCACCACUGCAGCCCGGGUUUGAUUCCCGGCCAGGGAA
rnacentral:tRNA from 1 species